AGCACUGUAUGGUAUCUGCACUCAAUGGCCUUAUCCUGUUGUGGUGUUCAUUAAACAGUGCAAUAGUAACUCGGCAACUGGCAUCGUUGGUUUGCUGGCCUCUUGUGUUUGUAAACCUGGUAUUUGAGCUGAGACAGUA